UGGAUCUGUAGCACUUGCGCAGUAACCUGCAUGUCUGUAAAAAGCCGCUUGCUGGGCUAGAAAGAGAAGGGAAGCCUCUGCUAACCAGAGAUAACGAAUUAGCUAGAUCAAUAAAAGCGUUGUACAGUCAUUUAGCUAGCUAUUUUAAUAUAUGAUUAAAUAAACGACGAAGAUAGUGGCGUAAUAUUGUUGCUGUUGGUAAUCUUAGUUUGCAAUGCUAUGCUAACUUUAGCUAGCUACGUAGCUAACGUUACUUGACCACUAUUUCCAAAACAGCAAAAUAAGAAGUUAUCAAUCUAACAUUAAUCCUCCACAGUAUAUAUUUGUCUCACAAUAUAUGAUGACGAAGAUGCUGCUUUUUGGCAACACCUUCUGUCCAAAGAAUACCCCUCGCAAGUCUGUUUCUGUCUUCAAUCUGCACACGUCUGAAGGGAAUGUAUCUGGGAAGGAGGCGCAGACUGAAAAAUAGCAACCUAUAGCUUGAAAAGGAGAACAACCUACUCAGGCUGAAGAUUGACCUCCUGUUGGACAUGUUGUCAGAAACCACUGCAGAUGGAGAAGGAGCUGGAAAAGAUGAAGAUUCACAGUCGAAGGAAGAAGUGAUGAAUAGAAAAUUACAGACAGGUUCCCAGUGAUACCUGAAAAUGAAGAAGGGAAUAGAUAAAGGAUGACCCACUCCCUCCUCCUAGAGAGGACCAUCCUCUUGAGGGACAAUGGGAGUCAGUACAACCAAGAGGAUGAGUGCUGGACCCCUGAUGGUGGCUGGAUGCUGGCUGGGGCUGGAUGGUGGCUGGACCCCUGUUGGUUGCUGUGGCUGGAUGGUGGCUGGGGCUAGACUUUGCCUGGGGCUGGAUGGAAGCUGGGGCUGGAUGGUGGCUGGGGCUACUCAUCUGUUUCGUCGUCACUGGGUUCUCCUACGCCUCCCCCAAAGCUGUCAGUGUCUCCUUCAAGGAGCUGAUGAGGGACUUUGAUGUGGGCCACAGCGACACGGCCUGAAUCUCCUCCAUCAUGCUGUCCAUGCUCAAUGGAUCAGGCCCAGUGUCCAGUAUCACGGUCAACAGGUUUGACAGCAGGUCGGUGAUGCAGGUCGGAGGUUUGCUGGCAUCAGCAGGCAUGGUGGGAGCUUCCAUCACCACCGCCAUUAAACAGCUUUACUUUUCAGGUUCUGCUAGACCACUAUGGCUGAAGGGAAGCCUUUCUCAUCAUGGGGGACUGCUGCUCAACUGUGGGGCUUUCAUGAGACCUGGAGAGGAGGAGGAAACGGGAGAAGGGAACGAACCAGCGCUGAAAGAAAUGUUUCCUUCAAAAGUAGGAAAGGAGAAGAAUGGAAUAGAAAAUAAGCUUUUGGACUUAAGGGGGAUGCCUGAACAGGGGGCUGUUGAUCUUCACUGAGUGGACAAAACAUUUGGAACACCUUCCUAAUAUUGAGUUGCACCCCUUUUUCAGUCGGAAUAGCCUCAAUUCAUUGGGGCAUGGACUCUACAAGGUGUCAAGCGUUCCACAGGGA